rnacentral:pre_miRNA from 9 species
UCUCGAUAGCGUAGAAGUUAGCUUAAAUUUGUAUGGAGCUGGAACUUUUGUCUACGUUUGCCGCUAGGGGUGCUGUUCCUAUUGCAUACAAGUUUGAGUUAACUUUUACGCUAUCGA